UACGGAGGGUGCGAGCGUUGUCCGGAUUUAUUGGGUUUAAAGGGUGCGUAGGUGGCUUUUAAGUCAGUGGUGAAAUACAGCCGCUCAACGGGUUGAGGUGCCAUUGAUACUGAAGAGCUUGAAACAAGUGGAGGCUGCCGGAAUGGAUGGUGUAGCGGUGAAAUGCAUAGAUAUCAUCCAGAACACCGAUUGCGAAGGCAGGUGGCUACGUUUGAUUUGACACUGAGGCACGAAAGCAUGGGGAGCAAACAGG
rnacentral:rRNA from 1 species